rnacentral:rRNA from 1 species
GGUUAACGCUAGCGGUGCGCCUAACACAUGCAAGUCGAGCGGGAUUAUUUGGAAGCUUGCUUCUAGAUAUGAGAGCGGCGAACGGGUGAGGAACACGUUGGAAUCUGCCCCCAAGUCAGGGAUAGCGAGAAGAAAUUCUCAUUAAUACCGGAUAGUCUCUUUGGAGUAAAAAUUUAUUGCUUGGGGAAGAGCCUGCGUUCUAUCAGCUAGUUGGUGAGAUAAAAGCUCACCAAGGCUAUGACGGAUAACUGGUCUGAGAGGAUGAUCAGUCACAAUGGAACUGAGACACGGUCCAUACUCCUACGGGAGGCAGCAGUGAGGAAUCUUCCACAAUGGGCGAAAGCCUGAUCCAGCCAUGCCGCGUGUGUGAAGAAGGUCUUCGGAUUGUAAAGCACUUUAAGUCGGGAGGAAGGGCUGCAGGUUAAUACCUUGCAGCCUUGACGUUACCGACAGAAUAAGCACCGGCUAACUUCGUGCCAGCCGCCGCCGUAA